AUGUAUUUCUUACAGAGUGAAACAGCUCCAUGUGAGAGGCUGCUGCAUCCCUCCCUCCCUGCUGGUACACCCCCGAACGCUCCAGGGCAAGGCACUUCCAGAAAUGUUGGUUCAGAUAUCAUCAGCCAGAAAAGGCAGCAGAUCCCACACAACCAGGGUACCCUAACCACCAGUCUAUUUAAAAUGAGAUUACCAAGCUUGAGGGCACAACUAUUUAUUUUGAUUGAAGCACUUGCUCAGCUGCUGGCAUUACUGGUGCAGUACUGAGAAAAAAUAAGGAACAAAAUGCAGAGCAUGUCCUGUUUGCCAGAAAUGGCCAGGAUGACUGCAGUCCUGAGGAAACAUUACUUCAGCAAUGCUGAUUAUCUGCAUGCAGGACCAAGUACCUCUUGAAUAUCCUCUGG
rnacentral:lncRNA from 1 species